GUAGGGUAAGCUACUAAGGGCACACGGUGGAUGCCUUGGCGCCAGGAGCCGAUGAAGGACGGGACGAACACCGAUAUGCCCCGGGAAGCUGUAAGUGAGCGUUGAUCCGGGGAUGUCCGAAUGGGGGAACCCGCCAGCUUGAAGAGCUGGCACCGCCAUCUGAAUCCAUAGGAUGGACGGGGGCA
rnacentral:rRNA from 1 species